UACGUAGGGUGCGAGCGUUAAUCGGAUUUACUGGGCGUAAAGCGUGCGCAGGCGGCCCGUUAAGACAGGUGUGAAAUCCCUGGGCUCAACCUAGGAAUUGCGCUUGUGACUGGCGGGCUAGAGUACGGUAGAGGGGGGUGGAAUUCCUGGUGUAGCAGUGAAAUGCGUAGAGAUCAGGAGGAACACCGAUGGCGAAGGCAGCCCCCUGGGCCUGUACUGGCGCUCAUGCACGAAAGCGUGGGGAGCAAACAGG
rnacentral:rRNA from 1 species